rnacentral:rRNA from 1 species
UACGGGGGGGGCAAGCGUUGUUCGGAAUUACUGGGCGUAAAGGGCUCGUAGGCGGCCAGCUAAGUCAGACGUGAAAUCCCUCGGCUUAACCGGGGAACUGCGUCUGAUACUGGAUGGCUUGAAUCCGGGAGAGGGAUGCGGAAUUCCAGGUGUAGCGGUGAAAUGCGUAGAUAUCGAGAGGAACACCAGAGGUGAAGACGGGUUGCUGGGCUGACACUGACGCUGAGGCGCGAAAGCCAGGGGAGCAAACGGG